rnacentral:rRNA from 1 species
AACGAACGCUGGCGGCAGGCCUAACACAUGCAAGUCGAGCGCCCCGCAAGGGGAGCGGCGGACGGGUGAGUAACGCGUGGGAACGUACCCCUUUCUACGGAAUAGCCUCGGGAAACUGGGAGUAAUACCGUAUAAGCCCUACGGGGGAAAGAUUUAUCGGGAAGGGAUCGGCCCGCGUUGGAUUAGGUAGUUGGUGGGGUAAUGGCCUACCAAGCCGACGAUCCAUAGCUGGUUUGAGAGGAUGAUCAGCCACACUGGGACUGAGACACGGCCCAGACUCCUACGGGAGGCAGCAGUGGGGAAUCUUAGACAAUGGGCGCAAGCCUGAUCUAGCCAUGCCGCGUGAGCGAUGAAGGCCUUAGGGUUGUAAAGCUCUUUCAGUGGGGGAAGAUAAUGACUGUACCCACAGAAGAAGCCCCGGCUAACUCCGUGCCAGCAGCCGCGG